rnacentral:lncRNA from 1 species
GCCCGCGCGUGCCGCCGCCGGGCCGCGGCGGGGAGCGGGAGCGGGAGCCGGGCGAAGUCCAGUCCGCGUUUUGCGAGUGCGCGGGAGCGCUCGGCGUGGAGGGGGCGAUGGUUGCUGGAGCUCGCUCGCUCUCUCGCUCAUGCCAUGCUGGGCCAGAUAGGCUCAGUCAGACGUGUAUUUACCCAUAUCCGGGUUAGAGAGGAAAAGAAAAAAAAAAAGUUUCAUUUAAACCUGAACAAAAAAACUUUCAACAUGAAAUCACACAGCAGGAACAGGCACAGACCCGAGCCGCUGAACAUGGCCAAUAACGCAACUUCUGCCGCUGCCACCAGUAACAACAACAACAACGCCAGCGGCGGCGGCCGCUCCUCCUCGGAGCCGGCUCUGAAGGAAGGUGGAAGCUCCUCGGCGUUAUCUUCUUCUUCUUCGUCUUCUUCCUCCUCCUCCUCCUCCUCCUCCAACCCGGGCUCGGCCAUGGAGACGGGGCUGCUCCCCAACCACAAACUGAAAGGCGUCGGAGGCGAUCACCCCGCCGCGCCGCCCCACCACCACCAUGCUCACCACCCGCAUCACCAUGCCCACCACCACCAUGCCCACCACCCGCACCACCACCACCAUGCACUACAGCAGCAGCUAAAUCAAUUCCAGCCGCCGCCGCCGCCGCAGCAGCCGCCGCCUCAGCACCAUCCCAUGCAGAAUAACAACAGCAGCCUCGGCGGCGGCGGCAGCAACGGCAGCAACAACAACGGCGGUGGCGGUGGCGGCGCUGCUCAGCCCAGUGCAGACAUGGAGCAGCAGCAACAUGGAGGAAAAGACAGUGUUUUGGGCACUAAGGCCGAGCCCCCGCAGCAGCCGCAGCAAAUGCUGAAUAAAGGCGCCGACGAGGAGGAGAUGCCCGGCAAAAUGGGCGAGCCCAUCGGCAGCCGCUACGAUCACGCCGGCUUGGGACCCCUAGGCGGACAGCAGCAGCCCCAGCAGCCGCCCCAGAGCGCUGGGAGCGGCGGCGGCCUCGGCGGCGGCGGCGGGAGCGGGGGAGGCGGCGGCGGCCCCUCCGCGGUGGGUGUCUCGGAGUUCAAUAGCUAUUAUGGCAACGCUGCCCCCGCCGCUGCCGGCAGCGCCGCGGCGAGCCGCGCCGGGCCUUGCUUUGAUCAACAUGGCGGACAACAAAGCCCCGGGAUGGGGAUAAUGCACCCCACGGCGGCCCCCAACAGCAUGGACCCCCUGCAAAACUCCCACGAAGGUUACCCCAACAGCCA